UACAGAGGGUGCGAGCGUUGUCCGGAAUCACUGGGCGUAAAGGGCGCGUAGGCGGCCUGAUAAGUAGGGGGUGAAAUCCUGUGGCUUAACUGCAGGGCUGCCUCCUAGACUGUUAGGCUCGAGCACGGUAGAGGCAGAUGGAAUUCCCGGUGUAGCGGUGGAAUGCGUAGAGAUCGGGAAGAACAUCGGUGGCGAAGGCGGUCUGCUGGGCCGUUGCUGGACGCUGAGGCGCGACAGCGGUGGGGAGCAAACGAGGAUUAGAUACCCGUGG
rnacentral:rRNA from 1 species